rnacentral:rRNA from 1 species
UACAGAGGUCUCAAGCGUUGUUCGGAUUCAUUGGGCGUAAAGGGUGCGUAGGCGGCGCGGUAAGUCGGGUGUGAAAUCUCGGAGCUUAACUCCGAAACUGCAUUCGAUACUGCCGUGCUUGAGGACUGGAGAGGAGACUGGAAUUCCUGGUGUAGCGGUGAAAUGCGUAGAUAUCAGGAGGAACACCGGUGGCGAAGGCGGCUCUCUGGACCACAACUGACGCUGAGGCGCGAAAGCUAGGGGGAGCAAACAGG